UACGUAGGGGGCGAGCGUUGUCCGGAUUCAUUGGGCGUAAAGAGCUCGUAGGCGGUUUGGCAAGUCGGGUGUGAAAUCUCUGGGCUCAACUCAGAGAGGCCACUCGAUACUGCUAUGACUAGAGUCCGGUAGGGGACCAUGGAAUUCCUGGUGUAGCGGUGAAAUGCGCAGAUAUCAGGAGGAACACCGAUGGCGAAGGCGGCUCACUGGCCCGAUACUGACGCUGAGGCACGAAAGCGUGGGGAGCAAACAGG
rnacentral:rRNA from 1 species